rnacentral:rRNA from 1 species
UAGGGAAUCUUCGGCAAUGGGGGCAACCCUGACCGAGCAACGCCGCGUGAGUGAAGAAGGUUUUCGGAUCGUAAAGCUCUGUUGUAAGAGAAGAACGUGUGUGAGAGUGGAAAGUUCACACAGUGACGGUAACUUACCAGAAAGGGACGGCUAACUACGUGCCAGCAGCCGCGGUAAUACGUAGGUCCCGAGCGUUGUCCGGAUUUAUUGGGCGUAAAGCGAGCGCAGGCGGUUUAAUAAGUCUGAAGUUAAAGGCAGUGGCUUAACCAUUGUUCGCUUUGAAAACUGUUAAACUUGAGUGCAGAAGGGGAGAGUGGAAUUCCAUGUGUAGCGGUGAAAUGCGUAGAUAUAUGGAGGAACACCGGUGGCGAAAGCGGCUCUCUGGUCUGUAACUGACGCUGAGGCUCGAAAGCGUGGGGAGCAAACAGGA